UACACAUCUCCCCCUUCCCUCGUACCAUGGCAAGUCCAUCUCCAGCCCCCAUCUCCCCAGAGCCGAUGUGAGUCAGGUGGACGAAGUUCAUUGGCUCCCCAAUCAUGGUGCGGUCAAUCCGUCUUCUCCUCUUCUUCUGUUUGGGGAAGACCGGGCGUCAGGUAUGCAGCCGUCUCCUCCCAUCAGUAUAGGAAGGAGAAGGAGUCUUGAAAACCCACCGAGAGCUAAGGCUGGUUUGGCAGUAUAAUGGGCAAACUUUAGGGUAGGAAAGACUAAGAUAGAAGAUCAUAAACCAGAGACAAUGUCACCAGAGUGGUAAGAACAGUGGCCUGCUGAGUGGCUACCGUAACAAAGAAAGGUCAAAGCAAAGUCACCUCUGGGUGAUGAGGGACUGCUGACAAGUCUUAAGUUCUACCCACGGCCCUGCCCAUCUCAGAACAGGAGUGGUUGACAGCUAGGUGACUUGUCUCUUUCGUCACAUAGCCUCCUUUAUUGCACGUGAACACACCUGCCUAGUCACAGCCACCCUCAAGAGGGAGGUGAGGAAAGUGUGUGUCAUAGGCAGAUCAGAGAUGGUGUCUCCUCUCCACAGCACAUGGUAACUAACUCCUGUCAGGAUGGGGGUGGGGAGACUUACCGGCUGGGGCUUCUCCACCACGCAGCAGCCCAGUUUGUGCCAAAACUCACUCAUAUUCCCUGAUGGUUCCAGCUUCAGGCCGCUGCCAGAGGCCCCAGGGGGCUCUUGUUUGUUGCUAACCAACCAGUCCUCACACUCAGGGGUAACAACACUCUCUGUUCACUCAACCAGAUGGGCUGGGAAAAGGCAGCAAUCCUAGAGGCCAGUAAGGAGUCUUUCGGUGAAAGUCAGAGUCUGACUCAGCGGAGCCACUAGGAGCACCAGCAAGAGGCUUGGGAAGGCAGGCAGAAGGUCCUGUCGUCUUUGGAUGCGGAAUCCUGAAUUUUAGCAGAAAGAAGAUAAAUGUUAGUGAGGAACGACCCUCCCUUUUCCCCAGAAACCUUCUGAUAGGCUCCAUCUUCCGAGUCUCUCUUGGAGACUACUACUGAGCCCCUCCAAAUUUAAGAGGCUCACGGUCGCUUCUCACAGAAUAGUGUGAAAAGACCAUGAAUAAGACUCCAGCUUUGUCCCCCACCCACUGCGACCCAGGAUGGGAACUUCGAUGAAUCGUUCUGGCUCUGCCACUGUUCUCCAUGGCUGCCUCAAUCUGGUUUAGAACUUCCGGGCCCCAGCUCCAUUUCGGGGAGACCCAGCGGCCGAUCCCGUCACAGACGAGGGAGAAGGCGUGAGGAGACAAAGCCGUCACAUCUCCGACAGCUUCCUUCAGCAGCCUCCUCUCCAGUCCAGAGCCGACCCCCGAGCCCCUGAGGCAUUCCUUCCGUCUUCGGAACAACCCUAGUCAUUCAUUGCUAACAGGGAAUCAUGCGGGACCCUGUGAGUAGCCAGUACAGCUCCUUUCUUUUCUGGAGGAUGCCCAUCCCAGAACUGGAUCUGUCGGAGCUGGAAGGCCUGGGCCUGUCAGAUUCACCUACCUACAAGAGCAAGGAGAGCAACAGCAUUGGCAAAAUGGGUGGGCAGGCAACCGGAGCUGAGCGGAAGAGCCCUGAAGGCGACCCCCUCCUUGAGUAUAGCACCUUCAACUUCUGGAGAGCCCCUAUUGCCAGCAUCCGCUCGAUCGACCUGGACUUGCUCUAAGUCGAGACCUCUCUCUCCCACCCGCCCCAUACCCUCCUUGUCCUCCCCCUUAAGUCCCUUCCUCUCUCAGCCUUCCACUUUAAUCUUGUUCUCUUCCCUCUAUUGUGCGGUGGUGCUGAUGAAUCUGCCAAUCGAAUUGUAUGUUUGUAUGUAUGUACUUAUUUAUCUAUUUAUUAUUUAUCUAUCUAUUUAUUUAUUUAUUUAUCUGCCAACUCCGUUUCUCUCAAAAGCCCUCUAGGCACAAAGUCAAGGGUUUAAUCAAUGGAGUACAAGAUCAUAGGACACCCCCCCCCCCAGCCCUGAGAAUACUAACUAAUCCCAGAAAAAUCACCCUUCUUCAAGGCUUCAGAGAGAAGUAUAGUUGUGCAAAAUGGGAGACCAGUUUUUUUUCUUGUUUUGUUGUUGUUACAUUUUAAUCUGCUUCAAAGAUUACUUGAACCUCCCUAAUUUUCAGCACCAGGUCAGUAAUACUGCUUUGAGAAGUAGUGAGAACCUGAAGUCUUGAGACAAAACAGGAUUUCUAAAAGGCUAAGUUCUGCUGCUGCUUGCAGUGCAUUCUCUUCCCCGGGAUCGUGGCGGUAGUUACCGGUGAACACAAGAGACCGGACAUGAGGAACGCAUCCUAUCGGUUCAGAGAUCGUUCCUUUAACUCCAGCUCACAGCUCUGCUUCCUGCUGCGGGUUGGAAAUGUUGGGAAAAUCAGAUUUGAGUCUUCAUGGGGAAUCUUUACUAUUAGAAUACUUACUUCCUAAAAGGCAAAAGAUGUAUCUGAUCAAAAGGAAAGCCAGAGUAGCAGUAGAAGAAUUUAUAUAAAAUUGCGAUUUAGUCGUGGAGCAGGCGCAGUUUUUUGGUCCUUGGUAUUGUAGCUUUGCCUUCAUGGAGGUGCAGUAUGUGAUAGGAAUCAGUGGUUCCUGGACCCAGUUCUUCAGCUACCAUAAGACCGUGAAAUAAGCAGUUACAUUCAGACCCUACCCCUGUCCCCAUUCCUUCCAAAGCUAUUGCGGCUGAAUCGUGGAGCCAUUUAUUCAUUUAUGUAAUAAAGACGUUAAAUCCUAAGUCUGGGCUUAGUUUUCUCAAUUCCAGUGAAAUACUACAGAUCCCAGAAAUUACUUGUGCUUCCACAUCUGGUUUUCCCUUUUCAUCUAAUAUUUG
ensembl:lncRNA